ensembl:misc_RNA Metazoa_SRP Metazoan signal recognition particle RNA
GCCUGGCGUAGCAGUGUGUGCCUGUAAUCCCAGCUACUCGGGAGGCUGAGGCAGGAGAAUUGCUUGAACCCAGGAGGUGGAGGUUGCAGUGAGCCAAGUUCAUGCCACUGCACUCCAGCCUGGGUGACAGAGCAAGAUUCUGCCUCAA